AUUAUGGUCUGUCAUUAAAUAUAUCUCUAUCGUCUACCGAAGGUGGAAUUAUAUUGUAGCUCAAAGCAUACUAAAGUUAUAAAUCGGGGUUUAAUAAAAUGAACGCGUCGAUAGAUAAAUGAUAAGUGUGUGAGUGACCACUAUUGUCUUUUAUAAAAAUCCAUUCAAUAGCUGCCUUUAUUUCGUUGCGGAAUGUGUUUUGGAACAAUAAAAUGCACGGAUUUUUCAAAUUGACAGCUGUGACACCUGUCAAAGUUUGAUUUGACAUAUUGACAAAUGUCACAUACACCCGAAAAACAUAGAAGUCAAAGAUGAAAGUAAGUUGUGUGUUGUAAAAACUAAAGGAAUUCCACCAAAAAUGUUGAUGCAAGACGGACAAGCGGGCAGGAGAAUGAUAGUGAAAUAUUUAAGAGGAUACGUACCCGGGAGCACAAACGUUUACGAUAAUAUCGUUAUCUCUAUCGCUCUUCAAUAUUGGCGCGACAGAGCCAGACUGUGUUUCAAUCGGCGUCUAGCGACGGCGAAUUUCCUCUGAGCAAUUCAGUCAGGGUAUGCUGCAAACAUACCAAGGAGCCAACAAGGAAUGUUGCCUAGGCUUGCCGCGAGAGAUGUGAAAUGCCAUGACACAGACAAAUUUUAAGUGGGCAUGAUAUAUAAUUAUAUACUCAACAACAGCGGGCACUACAAGGCUCUGGCAUAGAGUACCUAGAGCAUGGAAUGAGGCUACCAUUGCAUAGUUAAAUAUGAUGUGGCUUCU
rnacentral:lncRNA from 1 species